AGGAUGUGGACUCAGUUCUCACCCCCAUUUGGUGUCGGGUUUCUAGCGAAGCCAAUCGGCGUCGCUGGGGUCCCUGUUCCAGAAGUCCCCGCGAACCCAUUGGGACUCAGAUUCUCCCCAGACGCCGAGGAUGGGGUCAUGGCGUCCCGAACCCUCCUCCUGCUGCUCUUGGGGGCCCUGGCCCUGACCGAGACCUGGGCGGGUGAGUGCGGGAUCCGGAGGGAAAUGGCCUCUGCGGGGAGGAGGUAGGGGCCCGCGCACUGGGGCGCAGGACCCGGGGAGCAGCGCAAGGAGGAGGGUCGGACGGGUCUCAGCCCCUCCUCGCCCCCAGGUACCCACUCCAUAAGGUAUUUCAGCACCGCCGUGUCCCGGCCGGGUCGCGGGGAGCCCCGGUACAUCGCAGUGGGCUACGUGGACGACACGCAGUUCGUGCGGUUCGACAGCGACGCGGCGACUCCGAGGAUGUAGCCGCAGUCGCCGUGGUUGGAGCAGGAGGGACCGGAGUAUUGGGACCGGAGCACACGGAACAUCAGGCCCGCGCACAGACUGACAAGAGUGAACCUGCCCAUGCCGCGCCGCUACUACCACCAGAGCUAGGCCGGUGAAUGACCCCGGCCUGGGGCGAAGGUCACGACCCCUCCUCAUCCCCCACGGACGUCCCGGGUCCCCCCCGCGAGUCUCCGGCUCCAAGAUCCACCCCGAGGCUGCGGGACCCGCCAGAUCCUCGACCCGGGAGAGGCCCAGGCGCCUUUACCAGGUUUCAUUUUCCGUUUAGGCCAAAAUCCCCGCGGGUUGGUCGGGGCGGGGGCGGGGCUCGGUGGGCGGGGCUGACCGCGGGGGCGGGGCCAGGGUCUAACACCCUCCAGAUAAUGUAUGGCUGCGACUUGGGGCUGGAAGGGCGCCUCCUCCGCGGGUAUGAACAGCACGCCAACGAUGGCAAGGAUUACAUAGCCCGGAACUAGGACCUGCGCUCCUGGACCGCGGCGGACAUGGCGGCUCAGAUCACCAAGCGCAAGUGGGAGGCAGAAGAAUUUGCAGAGCAGAUCAGGGCCUACCUGGAGGGCACGUGCGUGGAGAGGCUCGCAGACACCUGGAGAACGGGAAGGAGACGCUGCAGCUCACGGGUACCAGGGAACACAAGACGCCUCCCUGAUCGCCUGUAGAUCUCCUGGGCUGGCUUCCCACAAAGAGAGAAGGAAAAUGGGACCAACACUAGAAUGUCGUCCUCUCUCUGGUCCUGAGGGAGAGGAAUCCUCCUGGGUUUCCAGAUCCUGUACAAGAGAGUGACUCUGAGGGUCUGCCCUGCUCUCUGAUACAAUUAAGGGAUGAAAUCUCUGAGGAAAUGAAGGGAAGACAAUCCCUGGAAUACUGAUGAGGGGUUCCCUUUGACACCAGCAGCAGCCUUGGGCCCCGUUACUUUUCCCCUCAGGCCUUGUUCUCUGCUUUACACUCAAUGUGUGUGGGGGUCUGAGUCCAGCUCUUCUGAGUCCCUCAGCCUCCACUCAGGUCAGGACCAGAAGUCACUGUUCCCUCCUCAGGGACUGGAAUUUUCCACGGAAUUCGGAGAUUAUCCCAGAUACCUGUGUCCAGGUUGGUGUCUGGGUUCUGUGCUCCCUUCCCCACCCCAGGUGUCCUGUCCAUUCUCAGGAUGGCCACAUGCGUGCUGCUGGAGUGUCUCAUGAGAGAUGCAAAGUGCCUGAAUUUUCUGACACUUCCUGUUAGACCUCUCCCCCAGACACAUAUGAUCCACCAUUCCGUCUCUGACUAUAAGGCCACCCUGAGGUGCUGGGCCCUGGGCUUCUACCCUGUGGAGAUCACACUGGCCUGGCAGCAGGAUGGAGAGGACCAGACUCGGGACAUGGAGCUUCUAGAGACCAGGCCUGCAGGGGAUGGAACCUUCCAGAAGUGGGCAGCUGUGGUGGUGCCUUCUGGAGAGGAACAGAGAUACCCGUGCCAUGUGCAGCAUGAGGGGUUGCCCAAGCCCCUCACCCUGAGAUGGGAGCAGUCUUCUCAGCCCACCAUCCCCAUCGUGGGUAUCGUUGCUGGCCUGGUUCUCCUUGGAGCUGUAGUCACUGGAGCUGUGGUUUCUGCUGUGAUGUGCAGGAAGAAGAACUCAGAUAGAGUGAGCUACUCUGAAGCUGCAAGCAGCGACCAUGCGCAGGGUUCUGAUGUGUCUCUCACGGCUUGUAAAGUGUGAGACAGCUGCCUUGUGUGGGACUGAGAGGCAAGAUUUGUUCACGCCUUCCCUUUGUGACUUCAAAAACCCUGACUCUCUUUCUGCAAAGGCACCUGAAUGUGCCUGUGUUCCUGUAGGCAUAAUAUGAGGAGGUGGGGAGACCAACCCACCCCCAUGUCCACCAUGACCCUCUUCCCUCAUGCUGACCUGUGUUCCGUCUCCAAUAAUUAAUCAUUCCUGCUCCAUAGAGGUGAGGCUGAGAUGUCUCCAUCUCUGUCUCAACUUUAUGUGCACUGAGCUGUAACUUCUUACUUCCCUAUUAAAAUUAGAAUCUGAGUAU
rnacentral:lncRNA from 1 species